GAUGAACGCUAGCUACAGGCUUAACACAUGCAAGUCGAGGGGAAACGAUGAGAGAGCUUGCUCUCUUAGUCGUCGACCGGCGCACGGGUGAGUAACGCGUAUCCAACCUGCCUCUGACCAAGGGAUAACCCGUCGAAAGUCGGACUAAUACCUUAUGCAGUCGUCGGAAGUCAUCUGAUGACGACGAAAGAUUUCAUCGGUGAGAGAUGGGGAUGCGUCUGAUUAGCUUGUUGGCGGGGUAACGGCCCACCAAGGCGACGAUCAGUAGGGGUUCUGAGAGGAAGGUCCCCCACAUUGGAACUGAGACACGGUCCAAACUCCUACGGGGGGCAGCAGUGAGGAAUAUUGGUCAAUGGGCGUAAGCCUGAACCAGCCAAGUAGCGUGCAGGAUGACGGCCCUAUGGGUUGUAAACUGCUUUUAUGCGGGGAUAAAGUGAGGGACGUGUCCUUCAUUGCAGGUACCGCAUGAAUAAGGACCGGCUAAUUCCGUG
rnacentral:rRNA from 1 species